UGCAGAAGAGGAUAAAGAGUGACAGAUCAGGAAAAAAAAGAAAUACAGAAAAAGAGGAGGUUCCCAGUCCACUUACCUUCUCUUCUACACUCCUUUUUUUUCCUCCUCCUCGCCUCUCCUCUCCUCUCCCAUCCCCACCUCCCAAAUGCUGGUGUUUAUGCUUCAGACAGAAGAAAGGUAAGGUAAAACUAGGAUAAUAUUUCCCCUAACAUACUUACUGCCU
rnacentral:lncRNA from 1 species